GACUCCGUGAAGCUGGAUUCGCUAGUAAUCGCGCAUCAGCCAUGGCGCGGUGAAUACGUUCCCGGGCCUUGUACACACCGCCCGUCAAGCCAUGGGAGCCGGGGGCACUUGAAGUACGCCGCCGCGAGGAGCGUCCUAGAGUGAAACUGGUGACUGGGGCUAAGUCGUAACAAGGUAAC
rnacentral:rRNA from 1 species